rnacentral:lncRNA from 1 species
AUGAGUAUGGUGAAUAGGGUAGAAGGAACACUUAAGGAACUCUCAAGACUAAAGCUGCAAAAUUCUUCUUGCAGGCAUCCCAAAGACAUCACUCAGGACAUUGAUCAAGAAUUAACAAGGGAAUUGUGGCAGGAGGAAGAUCAAAUGAAAUGGUCGGACAUCAGCAUUAUGAAAGUCAGGGUUCUUCAUUGCCAGUCAUGGAAUCUAUUCUAUUUGGUUUAAAUAGGAAGUGGAUUAUUAAAAGACAUUAGAACGCUCACUGAGUCUUUGGAAGAAGUGAAGAAACAGGCUCUGGAGUGAGCUUCCACAGUCCGCAGAACCUCAAUGCAGAAGUGGCAGGGAAGGAAAUGGCUCUUCCUCACAAUUCCAAAACCAUGUUGGCUUUCCCACCAUCUGUGCCUGCAAAAUUGAUGUCCUGCACCCCACCUGCUUCUUCAUAUGCAUCACUUCUGUAUCUGCAUCUCUGUAUAUGCAUCUGAUUAGCAGAACCCAAGUCACAUGACUGCACCCUGGCGGCAAAGAAACUGAGAAAUGUGGGAGCUUUGCUUGCUAUCUUGGGAAGAUGGGAUUCACACCACAGGGAACCAUCAUAAUGUAGAAGGAGUAUUAAAAGAUUUGGCGAACAGGGUAAACUAAAAUGAUUUGACUUUAAAAGGCUCCAACCCUUGAUUAAUUGUACCAAUCUGCCCUUAGCAUAAUGUUUUCAGCCAUCAGGUAGAUGUGGGCCUGAGCAUCAGCUUCAGCAUGCCUGCUCCAAACAUUAGUCAUUUCUCCACUAAAUAUCUCAUCAGGGAAAAGAAUUAUCACAUACUAAACACAUUCUAUAUGCUAGACACUGUACUAAAUGCUUUAUGUGCAUUAUGUAUUUAAUCUCCUCAAUAACCCCACUUCAAGGGCAUAAUUCCCAUUUUACAAGUAGAAAAAUAAGUGCUGAGAAAUUGAAUAGUUUUUCUCAAAGUCACACAGUAAGAUGGGGCAAAGAUUUAAU